UACGUAGGGGGCAAGCGUUGUCCGGAAUCAUUGGGCGUAAAGCGCGUGUAGGCGGCCAGAAAAGUCCGCUGUGAAAACUCGAGGCUCAACCUCGAGACGCCGGUGGAAACCGUAAGGCUAGAGUCCGGAAGAGGAGAGUGGAAUUCCUGGUGUAGCGGUGAAAUGCGCAGAUAUCAGGAAGAACACCCGUGGCGAAGGCGGCUCUCUGGGACGGUACUGACGCUGAGACGCGAAAGCGUGGGGAGCGAACAGG
rnacentral:rRNA from 1 species